rnacentral:rRNA from 1 species
UACGUAGGGAGCGAGCGUUGUCCGGAUUCAUUGGGCGUAAAGCGCGCGUAGGCGGUUUGGUAAGCCGGGUGUGAAACCCUCGAGCUCAACUCGGGGCGCCACUCGGAACUGCUAUGACUUGAGUCUGGUAGGGGAACACGGAAUACCUGGUGUAGCGGUGAAAUGCUUAGAUAUCAGGUGGAACACCAGUGGCGAAGGCGGUGUUCUGGGCCAGUACUGACGCUGAGGCGCGAAAGCGUGGGGGAGCGAACAGG